rnacentral:rRNA from 1 species
UACGGGGGGAGCAAGCGUUGUUCGGAUUUACUGGGCGUAAAGGGCGCGUAGGCGGCACCGCAAGUCGACUGUGAAAUCUCCGGGCUUAACCCGGAAAGGUCAGCCGAUACUGCGGGGCUAGAGUGCAGAAGGGGCAACUGGAAUUCUCGGUGUAGCGGUGAAAUGCGUAGAUAUCGAGAGGAACACCUGAGGCGAAGGCGGGUUACUGGGCUGAUACUGACGCUGAUGCGCGAAAGCCAGGGGAGCAAACGGG